rnacentral:rRNA from 1 species
GCAGCAGUGGGGAAUCUUAGACAAUGGGCGAAAGCCUGAUCUAGCCAUGCCGCGUGAGUGAUGAAGGUCUUAGGAUCGUAAAGCUCUUUCGCUAGGGAUGAUAAUGACAGUACCUAGUAAAGAAGCCCCGGCUAACUCCGUGCCAGCAGCCGCGGAAUACGGAGGGGGCUAGCGUUGUUCGGAAUUACUGGGCGUAAAGCGUACGUAGGCGGAUCAGAAAGUAUGGGGUGAAAUCCCAGGGCUUAACCCUGGAACUGCCUCAUAAACUCCUGGUCUUGAGUUCGAGAGAGGUAAGUGGAAUUCCAAGUGUAGAGGUGAAAUUCGUAGAUAUUUGGAGGAACACCAGUGGCGAAGGCGGCUUACUGGCUCGAUACUGACGCUGAGGUACGAAAGUGUGGGGAGCAAACAGGAUUAGAUACCCUGGUAGUCCACACCGUAAACGAUGAAUGCCAGUCGUCGGGUAGCAUGCUAUUCGGUGACACACCUAACGGAUUAAGCAUUCC